CCCCCGCGUUCGCCCCUCGCCCAGGCCAGCCCCGCCCGGCCACGCGCUUCGGGACACUGCCGGCGCUUCGCGGCCGAGGAACUGUCCCGGCCGUGAUACCGGCCCCGCCCAAGCGGCAGGUUCCCAGCCCCUGCGGCCUUGCAGCCUCCCUACGCUCCAACCCAGGAAGAGGCGGUGCCAAAAGGACAGCCAGUUCCGCCCAUGCAGAGAGGUCAGCUGAUUGACAGGCGAACUGGACAAUAGCGGCAAGCGUUUGGUCGAGGCUCCCGUGAAUCUCUGUGCCCCGGGCUAAACAACCAAUCAAAACGUUCUUCCUCUUGGGCGGACUCGAGAACUGAGUUUGCUACCAAAAGAAAGAGCUCAUUGGACUGCACUAGAGGAAGCAGCCCGAAACGCCACUUCCGGAGCUGCCUUGCUCCCCUGUGGUCUUUUCAGGUAGUCUCUGGGUUUUGCCCGCACUAUAGAUGGAGAGCGCGGUUGGGAGUCUUAGCCAAUAGGCUCACUUUCUUUCUGGGGCCUGAAAGGCCCCCUGGGCAGAAAAUCUUGAUUGAUGUUAGUGUAAUCCAAUCAACGCUCCCGAGAAAGAGCUUUGGAAAGUCUUUUCCCAACUACUGAUAGCCGUAAGCGGUAUGGCCAGGCUGACUUAAAUUAAGGGUUCCGUCGCAGUAACAGCAGGCGAUCGUGUUAUUGUUGUAUCUCAUGGUCUGGCGUUCACUGGGCGUAGCUAGGUGUCUCUCCCAAAGGGUCUCUCCUACGGAUGCAGUCAUAUGGCCGGGACUAAAGUCAUGUGAGGGCUGCUGCACCAACAUGUUUGUUGCUUGAUGCUCGCCGUCCACUGGGACCUGAGUUGGGACUACUGGAAUGCCUACACAUGGCCUUUCCGUGUGGGCUUGACUUCCUAACAGCGUGGCAGCUGGGUCCGGAAAGCAAGUGUCCCAAACUAGGAAGUGGAAGCUGCCAAUUUUUUAUGACAAAGAUUCCUUGCUUGGCCAAAUUUUAGUCAGGCUCCUGAACUCUCUCCCUAGGCUCAUCUCUGUGCUUCCUUGUGAAACCCUCUACCUCGAUAUCUGAUAAGAUUCUUUAGCCUCCACCAUCCCCCAGGUGAUAACAGAUCACCCUGGCCUGCCUUCAACAAGAAUCCUGUUAGGUGGGUUUAGCCAGAACCUUCCUUACCCUUGAUGUUUCUUCGUAGUAAUUUUCCAUCCUCUGACCACCGUGCUCUGGUUCUAAAUUCCCACUGACCAUGCUGGGUUUGGAGUUGCGCCCAAUCUCUCUCCCCAACUGCAAAAUCCCAUUGCAGUGGGCCCUAUACCUACUGUAAUGGUCCUGAAUAAAGUCUGCCUUACCAUCUUUAACAAGUGUCAUUGAAUAUUUUUUUCUUUAACACUCAAGGCCUGGGACCAGAAACUGACCCAGAAUCUUCAUUCUGUACUGAAUCCUAUUAGUCAAACAGCCACAAAAUCAGAUUGAUGAGAGGCACACAAGUACAGUUCCCAGUAUCCCUUGCAACUGCUGGAGGUGGCCAUGGAAUUAUAUGUCACUUUUCAGAAUCAAAACAGACAGAACCCCUUUCACAAAGCAGCUCUGAGAAAAUUACACUAUGUUGAGUAUAAGUCAACCCUGGUAAGAAACAUAAUUGUGAUUUAAAGGCAAAAUCAUAUUCAGAAACUUAAAAGGAAAAUCAGUCCUGGGGAGUAAUGCUUGUGGAAAUAUAUAUCGUGCAGAAUAGAGCAGAAAAAUAUAAGGCUUGUAAAUGCACAUAUGCUUGUUAUUUCCCUGACUUUAAUCUCAUUUAAUAAAAUGCACUAAGAAAGAUCUUUAGUAAAGAAUUCAAGUGCUCUUUUUUUAUAUGAAAUUAUUUUUUAUGUUCAUUAAUAAUGACUUUUAAUUACAAAUUGGAAUCUACUUAGUUUUCACAUAAAUUAACUGGGAAAUGUGUGCUAAUAACAAUUGAGAAGGUUGAUCUUCAUUCUAAAUUUUAUGCACACAUCAGAAGUAUCACAUUGCAAAAAGAAAAGAAGUUACCAUUUCAAGGAGAACUGGAGAAUAGCACUGAGAUUAAAAAAUUUUGUUUACUAAAAUAAAUAUAGGUAAAAAACUGACAUUUCACCCAAAAUAUCUACUCAAACUCCUAAACUUAAAAAAAAAGUAUUGGGAAAUCACAAACAUAAAAUUAGGUAAGACUUUAUAAAGCGAGUUUGCAUUACCAGCUUAGGGUUAGAUGGCCAUACUCGUGUUGCCUUCUAAAUGUAUAUCCCCCAUAAGCUUCUCUAAAGGAUAGCCUGGCAUUCGAAUAACAUUUGAAAUCAAAUAUGUGCAUGCUUAAAAGGCUUACAAAGGUUAGUACUGAAUACAGAUGCAUACAAACAUUAUCUGAAACACUGCAGAGUUUGUAAAGAGAGUUAAGAAAAGAAAUAAUGCAGAUUAAAACAAAAACAA